rnacentral:rRNA from 1 species
ACUCCGGUUGAUCCUGCCGGCGGUCACUGCUAUCGAGUUCCGACUAAGCCAUGCGAGUCACAGGCCGUAAGGUACUGGCAGACGGCUCAGUAACACGCGGACAAUCCACCCUUAGGUGGGGCAUAUCCUUGGGAAACUGAGGUUAAUUCCCCAUAGAUCCCGAAAACUGGAAUGUUACGGGUUCUGAAAGUUACGACGCCUAAGGACGAGUCUGCGGCCUAUCAGGUU